UCGCCUCCAUCUGGGAUCCGGGGCAUCUGAGUCCUGCAGGCUGCGUGGACUUUAUAACCAGCGCCCGCGGCAAUGCUGGUUGAAUUCCCGGGAUCGCGUCACCCAAUGGAGAUGAGAACUGCUAGCGCGUCAUCAGUGUCCGGGCAGAAGGACCUGACUCAGAUGAAGCCUCUGUAGCCCCAGAUGGCUAUGAGCUAGCUGAUGAGGUGAGAGACACGAAUGUCACAGCUGUGUGGGACACUGCAUCUGAUAACAGAGUUGGCCCCAGAGUUCCUCAGGCCUGUGCAGUGUGGACACUGGAGGAAAGAUGAUUCUCACGCAGAGAGUGCACGCUGGUGAGCCACAGGUAACUUAACUGGAAAGUGAGAGCAGAGAUGGGCGGGGACUCCUGCACAGUCACAUGUCACACACGGCAAUAAACGUCGGUGAGCACGGGUGUGAACUCCAGUCACUUCCUCAUGCAGGUGUUCACAGCCACCCCUCAGCCUCACCAGGACUCAGAGGCACCUGUUCCAUGAGGCCCUCCAGGGUCCCACCUGUGGAAGAUGAAAGAGAAGCAUCACGGUCUUGGGCAACAGCGCCGCCUGGUGGAAGAACAGAAGAGGACAGCGCCUGAGCCCACAGAGCUGAGGGUAAAGGGAUCCAGGCUGGCUGAGCUGCCCCAGGGCCUCCUUCCUGUCUGCACUUCUCCAGGGGUCUCAGGUCUCAUGCUGCCCUGCUCUCCUCAAACUUACACCCAGAAGAACUUCACAUGCUUCUCCACCCGUGGGAAGAAAACUCCCUGUGAGAGGGGAGGCAGGAGGCAGAGCCAUGAGUGCUAAAAGGAGCUGCAAAGCCCCAAACAGAGCAGCUCCAGAACGCUGACAGGGCCUGUGAUGUUGAUUCUAUGAUGUCGGCUACAUGUGGGAUGAACCAAAACCCCAAAAUGGAGGGCAACAUCUGAGAAGUGUUUUUGCUUAAUUUGAAGUGGGAAGAUCAGUUUCUGAUCCUGUUCUUUGAGGUAGGAAGCCACACCUGUAAUCCAGGGUAUUUGAGCAGGAGCCCCCCCCCCCUUCUAAUCUGGGCCACACCUUCUGCUGGAAGCCUACAGGAAGCCAUGGAAGAAGGGAAGGCUUGCUCUCUGUCUGCUUGCUCCUGCUCCUGCUCCUGCUGCAUCUUUAGCACCUAAAACAAAUGGGUGGGAGGAAGUGUAGUGUGACUUAUCUUGUGCACUUGGCACAUUAAAGAAUCCCCAGUUGAGUCUGUUCUUUCGUCCUUGGUGCUCAUAAUCCGGGGGUCACGACAAGGCUCUGACAUUCCCGUGUAAUUGUGAUCACAGAAUCUCAGCAUGUGCUUCAUAGUGAUGGAGGGAGCACAGCGCAGAAGUGACAGAGCUGCAACAGGCCGUCAGAAAUAGAAACUACCCAUGAUAUGUCACCCAUAUUCAGUCUCUCACAGGCUUGCCAGGUCCAUUAAAACAAGGAAAUGAAGAAAUUAACCAAUUAUUCAUAGGAAAUGUGUUAGACACCUCAGAUACUCAUGAAAAACAACAUGUUAACAGUUAAGGUGUAAAGAAAAAAUUUCUAUCACCUGGCAACAAGCCAAGGAAUUUAUAAAGAAAUGUCUUGUUUUUUGUAGAACCAAACUCCAGUACUCACUAGAAGAAAUGCUCAGGGCACCGAAAUAAAUAAAUAAAAAAUGAAAUCUGGCA